GAAGGCGGGGUCGGCGCUGCCGGGUGAAACCGUAGGACAGUGAAGAUGCUGCUGGAAUUGUCCGAGGAGCAUAAGGAACACCUGGCCUUCCUGCCUCAAGUGGACAGCUCGGUGGUCGCCGAGUUUGGGCGGAUUGCUGUGGAAUUCCUGAGACGCGGCGCAAACCCAAAAAUCUACGAAGGCGCCGCCAGUAAGAACAGAAAGGGGACGGCUCCGCAGGCUUCUAGGGCGGUUGCGAGCCAUUCCCUGUCUCCCGGCAGAGAAAGGGAUUAUUGCGACUCCUAGGGUCUUGUUCCGAUUGUAGUAGAAUAAAACCAGCAGAGCUCUUCAGUAAGGGUGCAAAUCCUGCCCGUCCCUUAAGUAGCUGUGAGAUUGUUAAAACUUCUAUUAAAUCAGUUUUUCAAAAUGUACAUAAUACUACCUUACUUUCAGAAAUACUGAAAAGUAUUUUGUAUAAAUAUACCAGUCUGUGGAAUAGCUGGGUCAACUGUAAAUUGCAAGUAUUUGGUUAUCACUAUUAGUUGUUCAGAUAUCCGCUUUUGCUAAAAAAAAGUGUUGUUUUCCCCCUGGGUA
rnacentral:sRNA from 1 species